rnacentral:rRNA from 1 species
GUCUAUGGCAUGCUGCCCUGAACGCACCUGAUCCCACCUGACCUCGGAAGCUAAGCAGGGUCAGCCCGGUUAGGACUUGGAUGGGAGAAUAUGACACGUGACGGCCGAGUGCAGUCGCUC